ensembl:antisense Gm15882 predicted gene 15882
UCUAAUAACAAAAGGCAUUCCCUGUGAACACAGCAGCUAAGCAGGGCAGGGAAACAGAUCCCAGCUUCAGCAGGCAAUCCCAGCUAAACCACAGAGCACACCUUCCAAGAAAGCAGGCUGGCUGCACAUCUUCCUCUCUCUGGUUACUCUAGCACCAUAAAUCUUCUCUUGUCUCAUCUCCAGCAGUAUAGCAGACCCUUGGGUGAGCUCUCUUCACUGCCUUCUCCCCCACAUUCCAAGGAGACAAAAUAAGACAGAUCCUGGUUGAACAAGCUCUUCUCCCUCUUGUGAAAUCCUUUAGAAACUUAGUCUAUCCCCAUUCCUAAGUGUCAGCUCCAAAUACCUAGAAAUAUAUUUAACAUGUUUCUCCCAGUGGCUAUGAGGUUCAGGACAAAGGAAAUUUCCUAUCAGGCAAGGCACAGAACCAUACUCUCUGAAAAUCCAGACAGGGAAAAGAAACAAGUUUACCUAAUAAAGUCAAACUCAGAAGUUGGUACCUAGACCUAUAACCAUUUCAAUCCCAGAUGCUGAGCACAAACAUAAAAACACAAUCAAUCACAGCCAGGGCACUGUGUCCUCACCAGAGCCUGUUUAUCCUACCACAGCAGGCCCAGAAUAUUCUAGCAUAACUGAAGCAUAAGAAAAGGGCCUGAAAAUCACCCAUAUGAAGAUGAUUGAGGAGGCCCUUAAAGAGGAAAUUGAUAAAUCCCUUAAAGAAAUCCAGGAAAACACAAACCAACAAAGCAAGGAAAUUAAUAAAACUAUUUGACCUGAAAAUAAAGACUAAAUAAUGACUGACAAAUUUACAGCUGAAUAACUUUGUGAAAACUGAUUGGAUAAACAUUUAUUUCUGCU